GGUUUUUAGAGGCUGAAGCUGCCAGCAUGAUCUGGUAAUUGCUACAUACGACAUACACACAUACACUAGUUAAUUUCCACACCUAUAUAAGUUUUUUUCCUACAACUUAAAGCAUUUUUUUUCUUCCUCUUUUUCAUUAUUAGUGAUCUCUAGUUCUUUGCCUACUUGUAAUAUAUAUUUACGGUGGAUUAAUGCAUAUGUGUGUGUAUGUACAUAGUUUACAUGCAUGCAUUUUGUGUAUGUGUGUGUGUAUAGAUAGUAGUACUAGGUCAUCCUGCAGCUUCAGUCACUAAAUCA